rnacentral:tRNA from 2 species
GCCGAAGUGGCGGAAUGGUAUACGCGGUGGUCUCAAAAACCACUGGGGGCAACCCCGUGUGAGUUCGACUCUCACCUUCGGCACCA